UCCUAGUUAGCUCAGUUGCUAGAGCUCUCCGCUAGUCCUGGAGAAGUCCCGGGAUCAAAUUCCGGACCAGGUA
rnacentral:tRNA from 1 species